rnacentral:rRNA from 1 species
UACGAAGGGGGCUAGCGUUGCUCGGAAUCACUGGGCGUAAAGCGCACGUAGGCGGAUUGCUAAGUCAGGGGUGAAAUCCUGGAGCUCAACUCCAGAACUGCCUUUGAUACUGGCGACCUUGAGUCCGGGAGAGGUGAGUGGAACUGCGAAGUGUAGAGGUGAAAUUCGUAGAUAUUCGCAAGAACACCAGUGGCGAAGGCGGCUCACUGGCUCGGUACUGACGCUGAGGUGGCGAAAGCGUGGGGAGCAAACAGG